rnacentral:snoRNA from 1 species
GGGAAGGAGGACACUUUCCCCGACUGAUCGACGCUGAAGCACCAGUCACUAUCACUAUAGGACCUUCGGGUCCGUCAAGCCAGAUUAUCUGACCC